rnacentral:rRNA from 1 species
UACAGAGGUCCCAAGCGUUGUUCGGAUUCACUGGGCGUAAAGGGUGCGUAGGUGGCCGGUUAAGUCUGACGUGAAAUCUCCGAGCCUAACUCGGAAACUGCAUCGGAAACUAUCCGGCUCGAGGGUUGGAGGGGGGACUGGAAUACUUGGUGUAGCAGUGAAAUGCGUAGAUAUCAAGUGGAACACCAGUGGCGAAGGCGAGUCCCUGGACAACUCCUGGCACUGAGGCACGAAAGCUAGGGGAGCAAACAGG